rnacentral:rRNA from 1 species
GACGAACGCUGGCGGCGUGCUUAACACAUGCAAGUCGAACGGAAAGGCCCUGCUUUUGUGGGGUGCUCGAGUGGCGAACGGGUGAGUAACACGUGAGUAACCUGCCCUUGACUUUGGGAUAACUUCAGGAAACUGGGGCUAAUACCGGAUAGGAGCUCCUGCUGCAUGGUGGGGGUUGGAAAGUUUCGGCGGUUGGGGAUAGACUCGCGGCUUAUCAGCUUGUUGGUGGGGUAGUGGCUUACCAAGGCUUUGACGGGUAGCCGGCCUGAGAGGGUGACCGGCCACAUGGGGACUGAGAUACGGCCCAGACUCCUACGGGAGGCAGCAGUGGGGAAUAUUGCACAAUGGGCGGAAGCCUGAUGCAGCAACGCCGCGUGCGGGAUGACGGCCUUCGGGUUGUAAACCGCUUUCGCCUGUGACGAAGCGUGAGUGACGGUAAUGGGUAAAGAAGCACCGGCUAACUACGUG